rnacentral:rRNA from 1 species
CCAUACCAUACCAACCUGAACACAAAUCAUCUUGUCUGAUUUCGGAAGCUAAGCAGGGUUGGGUCUCCUUUUCCCUUGGAUGAGAGACCAUGAAGGAACACCAGGAAUCUCAAGGU